rnacentral:lncRNA from 1 species
UUUUGCUCAUCUUGAUUUAGGGUUCAAAUUCUUGUCUUUGAGCAAUGAAGUAAGUGGUGUGUUGGGCCAAACAUAUAAACCUAACUAUGUGAGUCGUGUGAACAUUGGAGCAAAAAUGCCAAUAAUGGGAGGUGGAAAAGAGUAUGAAACAACAAGCUUGUUCUCCCCAGAUUGUUCGGUAGCUCGUUUUGUUGGUAAUGACGGAUUCAACAAUGAUAUUGCGAUGGUGGAGAAUUUGAGUCUCCCUAGCAUGAGUUGUACAAGUGGAAUUGAUGGGCAAGGAGUUGUAUGCAGGAGAUAAUUUUGUUCUCUAUCAGAGGUCUCAAGUUUAUCACGCAUGUGAAGUGAUACUUCAAUAAUAAGAGGAUUUGCUAUUUUUUUUAUUUGUUUAAAUACAAUAAUGUAUCAAAUCAUCAAAUAACUUGGAUGAUUCUGUGCUUAACAUUCGAAAAUAAUGUACUAUUGUCUGUCUUACAUGAAAUAAAAUAUAUUUAUAAGCAAAAAUAACAUGUGUGUAAUUGUCAACUUAGCCCAAAAUAAAAAUAGUAAGGUCGAAGUUAUUAAGUGUGCAUAUUUUUAUGGGUUAAAUAUGAUUUUGGUCCCUAUAAAUAUAUCAUCUUUUCGUUUUAGUCCCUCUAAAAUUUUCCUUCAACUUUUAGUCCCUUAAAAAUUUUCAAUCUUCACUUUUGGUCCCUCCUUUAAAAUAAAAUCAUAUGUAGAAUUCGUAUUUUUAAAUAAAAUUUUGCAGAAAAAUUCAUAAUAUUAUAAGAAUCUCUGCCCAAAAAAUUUAGAAUUUUUUAAAAGAACAUGAAUUUAAUAUGAAUUUUUAUAUUUUUGAUAGUUAAAAAUUCAUAUUAAAUUUAUGUUUAGUUAAAAAAUUCUAAUUUUUUUUGGAAAAUAUUUUUAUUUCAUUCAAAAAUACUAAAAUUAACUUUAAAAUAGGGACCAAAAGUAGUGAUUGAAAAUUUUAUAGGGAUUAGAAGUUGAAGGAAAAUUUUAGAGGGACUAAAACGAAAAGUUGGUAUAUUUAUAGGGACCAAAAACAUAUUUACCCUAUUUUUAUUUGUACAAAAAAAAUCCACUUGCCCCCAUUAAAACCAAUUUAAAAUAAAGGAGAAUUUUGUAAAUUGCACUCAAUUUUUAUUUUUUAAUGAAACAUUUUUACAACUGUUCCUAAAUUUACAAACAGUCAAACAUAACCUUGUGUUUAAAAUUUAUCUGAAUAGUAACAAGUGUGUAAUUUUAUCCAAGAAUUGGCAAACCAAGCAGGGGUAUGAAACUUGAAAGAGAAAGAAAGAUAACAUAAAGUAUGAAGGUUGAAUAGCAUAAAAGAAGGUUUCUUGAAAAAAAAAGAUUGGAGGUGUGCAAAAUUGUGAAGAUUAUUUUCUCUAAUCUUCGUGGAAUCUUCCUCCCUUAUGUUUCUUUUCACAACUCUUCUGCUUUUCCUUUUAAUCACUAGUAGCUACCAGUUGUACUGAAAUGGAAUCUAUUGCAUAAUAGGACUUGUAUUUUUCGAUUCAAAUAAGUUCUCUAUUCAAUACAUAAGUCUGUCAAAGUCCGUCCAUAUUAGAAAAUUUUGCACCAUUGAAGUGUUGGAACACCAGCAAGAUAUAGUGAAAAAAUUGGAAAGAACAAACACCUUGGUAAGAGCUGGUGUUAGUAUCACUUAAAAAUGUCGCACAUUGAGCUGCAGCAUUUUAACCUAAUUUUUUCUCGUUCAUUUGCUUUAGGUUUGCAAUUAUUUAACUAACAAAUUUCAUCUAAAAAAAUGCAUCGCACCAAUUUCAUUCCUAUCAUCUUGCCUUUUUUUUUUUAAGGAAAUAUUUUCUACACUUAUUUAAUGCUGCACAUUUGUUCUAGAAACUAUAAGCAUAUCAUGAUCAUGUUUGAUGCCUUCUAUUUUUUACUCUUUUUUUUUGGAUUUUUUUUUUUACAAUUUUUUGUACACUUUCAUUUGUAAGGAAAUAUUUUGUACACUUAUUUAAUACUAAAAAAAUGGAUCGCACCAAUUUCAUUUCUAUCCUCUUACCUUUUUUUUUUUUUGCUAUCCUCUUGCUUUUUUUUUUUACAAUAUUUUGUACAAAAUACUAGAAAAAUUCAUCGCACUAAUCUCUUACCUUUUUUUUUACAAUAUUUUGUACACUUUUUUUUUUUAACCAAUUUCAUGCCUUUAUUUCAUUCCUAUCGUAUUGCCUCUUUUUUUUUUUUUUUACAAUAUUUUCUACACUUAUUUAAUACGUUUACAAACAGAAUACUCUAAUUUCCAUGCAAACUCGGCUACCCUAAUUUCCAUGUAAACUUGGUUAUAUAUACCAAGCCCUAAACGUGUUUCUCUCAACAAAAAAAAAAAAAAACCUAAACCGUGUGAAAAUUUCACACACAACACAAAAAUCAUAUAUUUUCAUAUUUAGAGCUUUGCAAAUGGAAACACGUGACCUUACAACUUAUUUUUUUCACCGUUACCAAUUAUAUAUUGCAUUUUAUUAUUCGUAUGUCAAUGCCUUUACAAUAAACCCGAGCGGAGCACGGGUCAAAAAUCUAAUUAUAUAUAUUUCACACGCACGGUGAUGUCGUCCGUCCUGGCUCAAAAAAAGAAUAUAUAUUUUUUCACAUGAAAAUGUUAAAUUAAUUUUUGUUAAUUUUAUCAUUAAUUUUUGUCAAUUUAAUAUUAAUCUGAACACGCUUGUUUGUAACAAAUAAAUUUGUUACGAUCUGCUCUGAUCCAACAGAGUAUCCGGAAGGUUCCGGAUAUAACCACAUGAGAAAACAAACGCAGUUUGUUUUAGAGAUUAAGCUAACUUAAUCCUUAAGCCACUCCUUUUUUUUUAUUACGAACUCUCCUAUAAAUGGAGAUCUCUCCUCACUUAUACUUGACCCUAAAAUUCACUAUUGAUGCUUCCUGUGUUUUUCUUCUCUUAUCUCUUUUUUGACUUGUGCUGGCGAGUCAUUCUCUUCUUCUACUCCUUUUGUCCCGUCGGUUUCGAGUGAUCUACGUACCAUAUAGAGUGGUUUAAUCGAAUGAUCGAUUAAGCCAUAUUUGAGGGUGUUAUUUCUCGACGACUACUUACGGUGCAAUACGUAAUCGAACAGGUGAACUGGACUGUUUUAUCAUGGAGGCGGUGCAGUUGUUAGUCUACCUUGCACAAAUUCGAGUAGUGCCGUGAAAUGUCUUAAAGAAAGCGACUUGGUCAUGACUCAACCUGAUAAUAUCUUCGGUGGUGAUUUCGAUUUUAUUAAAGAUACUUUUAUGAACUCGAAAAACGAGAUGAAGCAUAGACAAGAGUUUUGAAUCUGCUAAGAAUAUUCUUGUAAAGGUUGAAUAAAUUAAAGAUUUGGCAUAUAUUGAAGCUGCAAAUACUAAUGAGGGUAGAGUGUUGAAAUUGUUCGAUCAUCUUCAUCAUAAAUAGAUGAUGAUUAAUCUAAGGGUCUUGCUAACCAGUAUUCUUAGGGCAAUGGUUAAGGAAACCAAAAGCAGUAUAUUUACAUUGAAUUCAACAAUAUUUUAAUUUUUAAAAAGUUAAAUUCUUCACUUUUCACUAUUUUUCAAUACAAUAUUUUUAUUUUUAUCCUCUUAACGAAUGCUCCAAGGGCACUCUUUAACAUUUCCUUUAAUCUAAAUAUGGUGAAAAGCGGUCAUCUUGCAACAUCCUAAAUCUCAAAACAUAGUUUAAAGACAUUUUAAGUAAAUGGCAUGUCAUUGCGAAAAAUAGAGACUUUUAAAAACCUUUAACAUACAUUCUCAGUUUGACUUAGGAUAUCACUAAUCACAUGCACGAGUCACGUCACACAUAAUUACAGUUAAUUAAGUCAUAGAUAAUUUAAAUCCAAAAGGAUCAGCUGCCUCAAACACGUGAAAUUGUCCCAAAAUAUUUAGACAUGUCCAAGCAUACACUGAUGACAAAGUACUAGACAAAACAUAUUAAUAAUAAAUCCUUUGAUGUCACUAUGAGAGUGAGGGUAAUUAAAUCCCAAGAAUAAAUAUUAUUAGCAAUAAAUUCAGAAGAGGAUAAAACACAAGACUAAUCGCUUGUUUCUUUUUUUUUUUUUUAGUUAUCAUUAGUAGAGUUAAUUUCAAUUGUAAUUUCAUCUUAAUUUGCUUUACAUUUAGUUAGCUAAGUUGUUUUGAUGAGCUGGCAAAGAUAGCUGCUAUAUAAGCUUUCACUUUUUUUUUUUUUUUUGAAUAAGCCCUUUAAUUGUGUAAUCCUAACUAAUUUUUUUCAUAAUGAAUUUUUCUCCUCUUUUGCAUCUUCUUCAUGGUUAAGCUUUGCUUUGAUGGUAUCAUAGCAGGUUUGAACCUACUCUACUUCCACUACGCAUAAACAUUUCUUCAGAUUCAGAUCCUUUUUAUCUUUCUUGAUCGAAAUUCGAUUCGUUAUCGUUUUCGUUGAAUUUUUUUUUGUGUUCUAUGUUUUUCAUAAAUUUUUGUUGAAAUUGCGAUUUUUUUUUUGUUAAUGUUCAUUCUUACUUAAGAAUUGAGUAAUCAUGGUGAGAAACAACAAUGUUCAGAAUCAAGAUCAAGGUCUUGAUCCGUAUUUUGUUCAUCCUUCAGAAAGUUUAUCCACAGUUAGUGUAAAAUCGCAGUUAUCAGGUGACAAUUAUCAUGCUUGGUCUAUGAAGAUUCGAAGAGCAUUAGCAAUCGCAGGUUAUCUUGAUGGUUCAAUUCCAAUUUCUGAAAAAUAUGAUUUGAAUUGUGCUACAUGGGAAAGAUGCAAAUAACUUGGUACAUACUUGGAUUAUUAUUUCGAUUUCUCCUUCAAUUGCGCAAAGUGUAGUAUUCAUAGAAAAUGGAAUAGAUAUGUGGAAUGAUCUCAUAGAUCGUUUUAUAUAUGAGAGGACAUUGUAUUAGAAUAGCUUUUCUUUUGCUAAAAAAAAAAAGAAUAGCUUUUCUAAUACAUAAAUUAGUGUCAUCCUCAUAAUCUAAGCAUUAUAAUACGACCUCUCCUGCCCCCACAGUGAAAUAUUUCAUCAAAUUCAGAUCGAUCUCCUUUUUUAUGGGAGCACACAAGUCACCACCUACCAAUAAGAAUAGAAACAAAACUAAAUGAUCACCUUGUUUCUAACCACUUUCGAUAUUUAUUUCUUGUGUUAGGCUACCAUUAACUAAAGAGUUUUUCUAUCAUGUGCAAAUUUGCACAUGUUAAGAAGUUGUUUUUGAAGGAAUGUUAAGAAGUUUUAAAUAGUAACUUUGCAUUGGAACUUGUAUAUUUUGUAUUAAAUGUAUAACUUUUUAAUAAAUAAUUGUUUUAUUCAAUAAAAAUUUGCUACUUUUAGUUGCUUUAGUACAAUAUUGCAUAUGUUAGACAAACUCUUAACUAAAAUGUACAUAUUCCCAUAAAACACACAUGCUUGCAUCCUCGUUUUCCACCUCUCGCUAUAACUGUACCCACUCAACAUGUAAUCCAAAUCAUACAACUUUUCAAAUCUACUUUGAAAAUCGAGUAUUCCAUACCAUACUUUUCAUAUUCAAUCAUCUCUUUUAUCACUAUCACCCACCCCAUCCACCAUCUAACUCUAUUUGAUGAAACUCGACUAAGUUGAUGAAAUCACUAAAGAAAUAACUUUCGCAACUGUAACUAUAUAUUAAUAACAUAUAAUAUAGACCCAAGGAUAAAUUUGACUAGAAAUCACUCAAGGAUAAGGGAGAGUUUACCUUGGGAAUUUGAGCCCCACCUCCAUUUGUAGAUUGUACUAAAAGUGUAUAUGAAAAAAAAAAUACUAAAAGUGAAAGGGUGAGGGUGAGGAUAGAAUAAUUGUAUCAUAUCAUCUCUCAAUUUAAUGUUUGAUGAUACAACAUGAUCUGGUAAGUUAAUCUUAAACUUAUCAAGUUCAAUCUCUUUAGUUAAUUUGCUUAUCUUGAAUAUGACUUAAGUUAGAAACCAGCAGGAAAUUUUUUAUAAAAUUUAAUGUAAAAAUAAAAUUUUAAAUCUAAAAAAAUAUAAUUGAAAUUUUUUAUUUUAAUUAAAAAUGUUAAUAUUAAUAAUUAAAUUUUAAAAAUGUGCAUGAUUUUGUCACAAGGGUAGUUUUGUCACAUAUAUAUAAUUGGGAAAUUGAUAUUAAAUUAAAUAUUAAAUUUAAUAAUUAAAUUUUAAAAAUGUGUACGAUUUUCUUCAAAAAAAAAAAAAAGUGUAUAAUUUUGUCACAAGGUAGUUUUGUCCUAAUCUAAAAUAUAGAAUCGAAUUGUUGACCUUAUCUAAAAUAUAUAAUCGAAUUAUUUAGUUUACUCGUUAAUUUAUUUUUUUUUUAUCUUUAAAAAGAGUUACCUCGUUUAUUUAGUAUCGUCAAUGAUUUUUUCUCAAAAAAUUAAAAUUAAUUAAAUACUAAUCUAAUUUCGUAGAAUUUUUUGUUAAUUUCAAAAGUAAAAAUAUUACAAAUUAGUUUGGGAAAAAAGUAUGCAUAGGGAAAAUAAUGAAAGUUAAAAAUAAUAAUAUUUUAUUUCUUAUCAUGUGUGCAACAAACACAUGAUAGAAUAAGUAAAUACCUUGUCACCUUCUUAUCAUAUAUGUAUCUAUCUUGUGUCCAACCCUAAAAAUUGAAGGAUUUGCACAAAGUGUUGACAAAAAAUAAGAUGCUAAUAUUAAAAUAUGAAGUGAAAAGAUGUUAAUAUCUCGUGAUUUUUUUCCCCGUUUUUCAUAGGUAAUUCCUUCAGUAAAAACAUUCAUACAUUUGAAUUGUGUUAGACAUUAGUUGUGGAUAUCUCUCGAACAGGAUUCAUUGAUUUACUAUGUUGUAGCACACUAACUCAUUCCACUAGAUCAAAUCCUAUUGUUGUAUUAUGUAAUUUUUAUGAGGCCUUUCUCCUCUAUUUUCCCCCCAUUUUUCGACGUUUAUUCUUUCUUUUUACUAUUUUUUUCUUUGAAAGAAUUCUUUCUUUUUACUAUUUGUCUUGCCUUUAUUUAUAAAUCUUAUUAAAAAUGAAAGAAUUGCAAAACAAAAAAGUAGUUGAAUUUUUAUUUUUUUUUGCUAUAAAAAAGUGGUUUAAUACUUUUUUUACAAGAAAGUGUAUUAUUACUUGGAACUUCAUUCACAUUAUUUGAUAAUAAUAGUGGCAUAGCCUCAGUUUGCGCUCUGCAAAUAAACAGCAAACUUGACGCCACAAUAUAUUUUUAAACUAGAAAAUAAUUUACCCUUUAUUAUGGCUGCAACAAUUCAUAUCCCUUUACCUAGUUUUCAUUAAAGUGACAUACAAUAAUACCGUGCAUGUCUGUGUAUAUAUAUAUAUAUAUAUAUAUAUAUAUAUAUAUAUAUAUAUAUAUAUAUAUAUAUAUAUAUAUAUAUAUAUAUAUAUAUAUAUAUAUAUAUAUAUAUAUAUAUAUAUGUAUGUAUAUGAGUAGUGUAUAUCCAAAAUAAAGUGCUGUCAACUAAUUUUUUGUUAUAUGAAACCUCAACUAAAUUUAUAUCUUAAGGAAUAACCAUGUGAAAAUAUGCUGACUUUGGAAACAAUAGAAGACGUAGUCCGAAAGUAUUGGAAUUCUAGCCGUCUGUAUAGCUUCUUCAUGUCAUGAUAUACUCUCCUCUAUGCCUAUAAAAGGCAAUGCUCUUGCAAUGUUAUUCUCACUCAUUCAACAGUUUCCAAUAUCUGUUUGAAUAAAAAAAAACUAGAAAAUUAUUUCAAUGGCUAAAAUAUUAGUUCAAAUUUUGGUGUCAAUUUUGCUUGUGCUAAUGGCAGUGGAAGCAGCUAGUCCUCCUGGAAAUGCUAAAGGUCGUGGGAAUGGUUAUGCAACCUGCAAGAUAAAGAAGUACAAACAUUGCUAUAAUUCGGUUCAUGUAUGUCCUAAGUCUUGUCCUUAUGAUUGUACUGUGGAGUGUGCCUCUUGCAAACCUAUUUGCAGUAAGUCUUCAUAUAUAUUUUGUUACAUGGAAUCAGUUACAUCAAUUUUUGCAUGAAUACAGUGGUUUAUUAGAUAAUAAUAUUUACAACUAGAUAAAUAACAAAGUAAAUUAACUACUUAACUUAUUUAAUGAUGAACGCACUUGAAUUGCAGCUUGUGACAAACCAGGAGCUGUUUGCCAAGACCCUCGUUUCAUUGGUGGUGAUGGAAUCACUUUUUACUUUCAUGGCAAGAAAGACAACAACUUCUGCCUUGUUUCUGAUAACAACCUCCACAUCAAUGCUCAUUUCAUAGGUAGAAGAAAUGAGAACAUGAAAAGAGACUUCACAUGGGUCCAAUCCAUUGUUAUUCUCUUUGACAAUCACCAACUUUUCCUUGGUGCCCAAAAAACAUCAACAUGGGAUGAUUCUGUAGACCGUCUUGCCCUCUCCUUUGACGGUGAGCCCAUCACUCUCAACGAAUCAGAAGGUGCGAAAUGGGAAUCAUCUGGGGUAUCCUUUGUUAGGGAAACUUCUACAAACAACAUUAUUGUUGAAGUUGAAGGAAAUUUUAGGAUAACUGCUAAGGUUGUCCCUAUAACCGAAGAAGACUCGAGGAUUCACAAUUAUGGUAUCACCAAAGAUGAUUGUUUUGCUCAUCUUGAUUUAGGGUUCAAAUUCUUGUCUUUGAGCAAUGAAGUAAAUGGUGUGUUGGGCCAAACAUAUAAACCUAACUAUGUGAGUCGUGUGAACAUUGGUGCAAAAAUGCCAAUAAUGGGAGGUGGAAAAGAGUAUGAAACCUCAAGCUUGUUCUCUCCAGAUUGUUCUGUGGCACGUUUCAUUGGGAACAAUGGAUUAAACAAAAAUAUUGGAA